rnacentral:rRNA from 1 species
GACGAACCGUGCGAACGUUAUUCGGAAUCAUUGGGCGUAAAGAGCGCGUAGGCGGCCCGGUAAGUCUGCUGUAAAAGUCAAAGGCUUAACCUUUGAAAGUCAGUGGAUACUGCCGGGCUAGAGUCCGGAAGAGGCGAGUGGAACUCCUGGUGUAGCGGUGGAAUGCGCAGAUAUCAGGAAGAACACCAACGGCGAAGGCAGCUCGCUGGGACGGAACUGACGCUGGAGGCGACGAAAGCGUGGGGAGCAACAGG